GUCACUGUCACGCCAUGGGCUGCGCUGGCAGUGCCAGCAAUUCGGCAAGGUCGCGUGGAGUUUGUGUGUGCUGUGGAUCUUGUUUUGCCUCUUUGCGGGGAAUGUCCUGCCUCCCUAGAGGCAGCUUCAACUAAUCUGGGCGUCCCCUGGUCGCACUGGUCAAAGAAAAGUCUUACUUUGGCUUGUUCCCUGCAGGGAAGAGCCCUUCCCUCUUCUCGUGCCGGCUCUCAGCACGGAGCUCUUCCUGGGGACCUUCCACUCGACUGGCUUCUGGACAAAACUCGAGGGGAAAAAGAGCGAGAGCUGGAGACUGCCUUCCUUCCUGCAGUGCAUUUAUCGUGGCCGCAGCAGCCAGAGAAAAGGCCGCGUAACAGAAGCUGCAAACGUUCACGAAGAUGCAUUUUUCAGCUGCAGAGAGUGACACUUCCCCUCUUGAGGAGUGUGCAGUGGUGUAGGACUCUCUUGGUCAAACGUUUGUCAACAUCCUUCAGAUCUUUCACUUGGAGUCAAAACAUGCUGAGUCCAGUGGGUAAUUAUGCCCUGGGAAGCGCUGCUGAACUCUGCUGCGUUUUGCAGGAGUUCCUGGUGGCAGAAUUUCUCUUCUUCUAAACAAUGAAUUGGAGGCAUCAUCCCCAUCUUAGUGAUGUUUUCUGCAAAUGCAGCUGGAAGAAGCGUUC
rnacentral:lncRNA from 1 species